UACGUAGGGGGCAAGCGUUGUUCGGAAUUACUGGGCGUAAAGGGCGCGUAGGCGGCACAGCAAGUCGGGAGUGAAAGCCCGGGGGCUCAACCCCGGAAUGGCUUUCGAAACUGCUGAGCUAGAGUACAGAAGGGGCAACCGGAAUUCCCAGUGUAGCGGUGAAAUGCGUAGAUAUUGGGAAGAACACCUGAGGCGAAGGCGGGUUGCUGGGCUGAUACUGACGCUGAGGCGCGAAAGCCAGGGGAGCAAACGGGG
rnacentral:rRNA from 1 species